GCGCCCGUAGCUCAGCAGGAUAGAGCGGCCGCCUCCUAAGCGGCAGGUCGGGGAUUCGAAUUCCUCCGGGUGCGCCA
rnacentral:tRNA from 1 species